GCUGAUCGGGUGCGGGUGCGACUGCCUGUGUGCCUCCAUUGGCAUCUCUGCCUGUGGGCCCCAGGCCAGAAGUAAUGGCCCAUGUAGCCCAGGCCCGGGGGCCAGUCCUCAGCAUUUUGCGGAGGGGCGGCCUGGGAGGGGAGGAGGGGAUCCCUGGAUAGGGGGUCUCCCCUGGUCUGCCCCAGCUGUGCCGACAGCACCUCCACCUUGGGCCUCCAUCCUCUACCAGCAGAGAAGAGAGUGGCCCAUUCGGUGUCCACCCGUCAGGCCACCCAGCAGCCAGGCACGCUCAUAAGCCCGCGUUACGGAUGGUGCGGCCGGGUGCACAGGCCCGAGGGAAGCACAGGCCUCGGCCUCCCAGCUCCCAACCCCUGCACCACCCACAGCCGGGAGUACCCCAUGGACAGCUGUGGCCGAGGAGAAGCCAGGGAUGAGGGGGAUGGGCCUCACCUCCCCACCAGCCUGGGAAGGGGGUAGGCCCCUGGCAAGUAGGAGGGAAGCUGAGGCUCAGAGACAUCAUGAGGAUGCCAGCUCAAGGCCCAGCCAGGCCUUGGUCCUCAGCUGCUGUCAUCCAGUAGGGUAAGUGGGACCCCCAGGAGGUGUUGGGGGACACUCCUCCCCUCCCCCACACUCACAGUCUGUUCACCGCCCAAGGCAGCAGGCUGGACUCGGUGCAGGGACCAUGGCUUGGCGUGGCCAGGUUGGAGUGGCCCCUGGGACUGAAAGCAGGGGGCGUGGGGGCUCUGAGGCGGGGCCGAGUGCGGGGACGUCCUGUGGCGGGUACCCUGCUGGGUCCUGGGUGGGGGCCACCACCAGGCAGCUGUGGGAACAUUCCAGACCACCUAGGAGUAGGGCCCCUUCACCGUUUGAAGCUGACUGUAAAAAACAUCUGACCUGUGUGCAAAGCUCAAGCCCAGAGGCCUCCAGGGUGUCCAGCCUCCAGGGUGCCUCCUACGCAGCCUCCACGUCCCCAUCCACUGCAGCCCCUGACCAUCGGGCACACCGUGGGGCCUUCGCUGGCCGCCGGGCCUCAGGUUCUGCUGCACCAAGUGAUUUUUAAAGCCCCAUCUGCCUUUCUCCACUUAUAAAGAACUUGGGACAUUUCCUCGAGGUUGGGCAUUUUUCCAGAUGUGGUUUCAGUGUCUCGCUUGCUACCUGGUCCCCUGUGCUGGGCGGUCCGCUGUGACGCACCUGGCAGUCCUUGCUCUAGGAUGGAUUCGGGCCGGCCCUUGUUCUGAGAACAGAGAACGGCCCUUGUUCUGAGGAGGCUGGGGUCUGGAAUCUGCUUCCUGGUCCCCUGCUGUGUGCAGACAGCCACCGUCACCCAGGCCCAGGGGUGCCUGCAGGUGCUGGGCAUCUCACCCUGGCCCCCACAGGGGCUCCCCAUGCCCUGCACCCCUCGGUCUGUGCCGGGGACUUCCCUGCUCUGCUGUUGCAGGCCUCGUCCUUUGCCGAGGGGGUCUCUUUCCCACGUGUCCCUGAGACUCCUCAGCCAUCCCAGAGGCUCUCGGCCGUCUGAGCACCCCUGACCAUGAAGCCUUCCUGGCCCACUCUCUGUGUGUGAGGCAGAGCCCAUCCCUACCAUUCCGACCCACACCAGAGGCUCCGGAAGGUUUGCUGACUGACCUGUGACUGCAAGAAGCUGAAGGAAUGUGGGCGCAGACCCGGCAGGGGCUUUUCUUGGUGCAAAGUCAACUGGCUGUCCAUGCAAGCCUGCUGCUGUGGCCAGCCCUCCCGCCAGGCGCCUGGUACCCUCCCUGGACCCAGUUGCCAGGACAGUGAUCCCCAGCUGUGGCCAGGACUCUGCCCGGGGCCCUGUCUACUCAGUGUCUCCAGUGGUCCCCAUGCAGAAACUGCCCCCCUUGCUGCCCAUGAGGCAUGGGAUAGGGUCAGCAUCCGAGAGGCAGGCCCUGCUGUUCCCCUCUGCACAGAGGCUGGGGGAGUGAGUUGCCCGGGCAAGUCCCCGGGCAGGCACUGGGCCUCCUGAGCAGGUGAGCUGAGAAGGCCCCAGCUGGUGUAGGCCUCGAGAGCUGCAGGACUGGCCAUGGGGCAGACCUGGCAUUGUCAUUCUAGAGCUGGGCCUGGGGGGUGGCUGGUGCAGUGCAGAUCUCAGGUGGAGGCCACCUGCCCGUCCUUUCCACGUGGCUCAGGGCUCAGACCCACCUGCCUGUCCCUGGAAGCCCCUAGACUGCUCAGAGCACAGACCUCAGUGGGAAAGACAGUAGAUAGGCCUGGGUAUGGUCUCCCAGCCCUGAGAAGUGGGGAGCCCACUCAGACCUUUCCAGGACCCCAGGUCCCCUCAGCAGCCCACAGAGCGUGGGUGGAGCCUGGGCUGGGGUUGGGUCACUUGGGAGCCAAAGGCCCAUUUCUGCUGCUUCCAGGGAGUCCCAGGGAGACGGCAGAGGCAGUGCCUGGCUGGGGCCCUGGUUGGCGUGCCGUUUGAGGGGUGCAUGCACUGGGAAGUUGGCCAGGCCUGCCCAAAUCAGGGGGCUUCCAGGAGGAGAGACAUCAGGAGGAUGGGCACAGAGGCGGCUUAGCACCAGGGCUGGCACCUCCAGGUAGGGGCUGUGGGGGGCUGGACCAGACAGGGAGGCUGUCACGAUGCCUGGCUGUUGGAUGGGGGCACAGAGGCUCUGAGUGGGGUGGCAGAGCUUGGCCACCAGGUCCAUCUGCACCCCCCAUGCCCCCUCACUACCCCCAGACCCCCAUGAUCCCAAACUACUCAGUCCCAGGGACCCCUGCAGAGCCUGUGGUGGGGGUGAUCUUCCACCCUGCCUGGCCCCUGCCCACCUCACCUCAGAACUUUCUCCAAAAAGUAAGAGCCCCGGGGGACGAAACUUCGAGGCUCCACCCCUUGGGCUCUGGUACAAACCCCGAGCCUCCUCCGAGGGCUGAGUCACUGGGAAAGCCGGGAUGGGCUGGCCCCUCCCCCUCCCUCUCCUUCCUUCCUCCUUCCCCCUUUCUCGGUCUCCCUCUUUUUCUCUUUGCUUUACUUCUCUUUCUUGCCUCCCUCUCUCCCUCUCUUCUUUCGUUCCUUUCAUCUUCUUCCCUUCCUCCGUCUUUGCCUUUCUUCUUUUCUGAGGGUAAAAAUAGCUGGAAAAC
rnacentral:lncRNA from 1 species